GACGAACGCUGGCGGCGUGCUUAACACAUGCAAGUCGAACGGAAAGGCCCUGCUUUUGUGGGGUGCUCGAGUGGCGAACGGGUGAGUAACACGUGAGUAACCUGCCCUUGACUUUGGGAUAACUUCAGGAAACUGGGGCUAAUACCGGAUAGGAGCUCCUGCUGCAUUGUGGGGGUUGGAAAUUUUCGGCGGUUGGGGAUGGACUCGCGGCUUAUCAGCUUGUUGGUGGGGUAGUGGCUUACCAAGGCUUUGACGGGUAGCCGGCCUGAGAGGGUGACCGGCCACAUUGGGACUGAGAUACGGCCUAGACUCCUACGGGAGGCAGAAGUGGGGAAUACUGAACAAUGGGCGGAAGCCUGAUGCAGCAACGCCGCGUGCGGGAUGACGGCCUUCGGGUUGUAAACCGCUUUCGCCUGUGACGAAGCGUGAGUGACGGUAAUGGGUAAAGAAGCACGGGCUAACUACGUG
rnacentral:rRNA from 1 species